CAAGGAAUUUUCCCCAAUGGGCUCACGCCUGAGGGAGCAACGCCGCGUGCAGGACGACGGCCUUCGGGUUGUAAACUGCUUUUGGGGGGGAAGGAUAAUGACGGUACCCCCCGAAUAAGCCCCGGCUAACUCCGUGCCAGCAGCCGCGGUAAGACGGAGGGGGCAAGCGUUGUCCGGAAUCACUGGGCGUAAAGCGCGCGUAGGUGGCGCGGUGCGUCGGUGCUGAAAGCGCCGGGCUUAACCCGGCGAGGUGCGCCGAUACGACCGGGCUCGAGGCCAGCAGAGGGUGGCGGAAUUCCGGGUGUAGUGGUGAAAUGCGUAGAGAUCCGGAGGAACGCCGGUGGUGAAGACGGCCACCUGGGCUGGACCUGACACUGAGGUGCGAUAGCGUGGGGAGCGGAACCGGAUUAGAUACCCGGGUAGUCCACGCCGUAAACGAUGCCGGCUCGGUGGUU
rnacentral:rRNA from 1 species